UUCUCCAGAUCUGGGAGCCCAAGAUUCUGACACUGAGAGAUCCUGAGUCACAGAGCUGAGGGCUCCAGACAUCAGAUCCUGGGUUUCUCUGUGCCCAAGUGCUUCGGGGAAUAAAUUCGACCGUCCAGGAGAAGAGUCUGAGACCUGGCUCACUGAGCAGUCGAGAUUUCUGGCGGAAAAAUGAGCUUCCCCAUCUCAUCGGUGGCUAAAGGAAGCAUAAGGCUAAUCUUAGAGGUGUGCUCCCCUUACCGUCUCAGCAGGCAAGCAUCACCUUGGAGUUUGCUGGAAUCCACAUUCCCCACCAGACCCCAGACAUGCUGCACUCGGGCCGCCUCUCACUGCCUGCAGCAUCCAGAUACACAGCGCACUCAGAGUUGUUGGAAACAUCUGCCAGAGGAAACAAGAAGACAAGUGACUGAUGCAGGCCCCUUUCUAUAAUGCACUAACUUAUGAAUGACAGUGUCUCUCCUGUGAGCUAAGCUCCAAUCAAGGUCCUUCCAGUGCUGUCAAGGCGUAUAAUGUCAUUAUCCAGACUCUCCUCAAUUCAGUUCAAGGGCACAGAUGAUUUGUAGACGUUCUCUCAAGUGAAAGCAGAAGCUGAAGCCUGGCUUGCUGAGGGGAAGAGAACAACUCAAUUUGGAAGAAGAGCUGAUUUCCCAGGGAGAAGCAGACAUCACUUGUGAACCACUGGGAGCCACACCCAAGCUUUAUCCUGCGAGAAGUCCAAGGCUAUGGAGAGAAAGACGUCUUUGCCUCUCCAAUGAAUUAGUGCCACAUUGGGAAACAAUACGGAGACCAGCAAAAACCAAACAGAGAAUUGCUGGAAGACUUGGAGUUCUGUGUACAUACCCUAAAGAGUUAGGAGUUUAAGCAGAUGUUUGCACACCUAUGUUCACUGGCAGCGCCUUGCAGUAACCGGAUGGUGGAAACUGCUGGGGAUUUGUUUAGAGACGAGUGCACAAGGUAAAGAUAGCUUAGGCAAAUGGGACAUGUGUUAGCCUUGAUCAGGAAGAAGGCGCUGUAGCUUGCUGGGUCCAGGAAUGAGCCUUAAAGGGACUAUGCUAAGCGAAAUAAGCCAGUUAUAAAAGUACAAGAAAUGCGAGGUUGCUCUUACCUGGGCUUCCUAGAGGACUGACAUUGCAGGGACGUAAUUUACAGGACAGCACGGGGGCUGGGAGACGAGAGAGAUCGGAGUUACUACUUAAUGAGCAUAGAGUAAGGCGAGCUGAAAAGUUCUGGAUACAGGUGGAGGUCACUGCUGCACAGCCACGCGAAGGUGUCAGGCCACAACCUGUGCACUUAGGAAUGGGCCUAUGUGCUAUGUGUAUUUUACGAUUUUUGUUUGUUUUUGUUUAUCGAGACAGGAUUUCUCUGGGUGUCUUGGAAUUUGCUCUGAAGACCAACCAGGCUUGACUCAAACUCAGAAAUCCAUCUUUGCCUCCCAAACACUGGGAUCAAAGAAAGGUGUGUACCCCCAUAUCUGUUAAGUUUUUUGUUGGUCUUUUUGGUAAUUAAAAGGCAGGCAGUUUUACCUCAGGUUUUGUUUUAUUUAAAAAAAAAAAACUUAUGACCUCUAGAAACCAUAUAUUUGGGGGACAUGGUCAAAGGACGUUAUCAACUUGUAUGAAAAUAUUCUUAUGAAACUCAGUACUAUCUAUGUUCAGCAUAUAUGAGUCCAAUAAUAAUGGUGAUAAGGGUAAUACUGAAAAAAUGGCUCAGCAGCUAUGAACUACCCAUUCUUCCAGAGGACCUGUAUUAGAUUUCCAGCACUUACACAGUGGCUCACAACAGUCUGACUCUGGUGCCCCCUUCAGGGCUCCUUCGAGAAUCAGGCAUACAAGUGGUACACAGACAUACAUGCAGGCAAAACACCCAUACACAUAAAAAUAAAAAAAAUUAAAAUGAAAAACAAGUUAGAAAAACAGAUAUAAUUUAGUCAUUCCAUCUGCUCAUUAUUCAUUUUUAAACUGAAUUUGUAAAUGACAUUAAGAGCGUUCCACCUGUAUUUACACAGGCUUAGGGAUUUAAUAGAUAUGGCUCCUGCUCUUGGGGGAUUUCCUAUCCAAUGAGUGAAGAGGAACUAAUUACGGUACACAGUGAGAUGAAACAGUAGGCCACGUGUUGAGGAGCAAGCUGCCUGGGAUUCAGAGGCGUCCUCUAUAAUCCCUCCAAGCUAAACCUGUGAGCGAUGUGGGUAAACACAGAAAGUGGGUGUGAAGAGAGAUGGGGGGGGGGCUGGGAUAUGAGCAAGCCAAGGAAGCCACUAGCUCUACCCUGUGAAGUCCCCAAUUGGUCACAGGGCAUCGCAGGACAGUGACCAUGAAGGCUGAAUGUGGACAGGAAAGCAAUGUCACACCACGAUAUGAUGGUGUUGUCUUUACUGGGAGGAUGACCCAGAAAUGGGGCUGAACUCAGAAAGCCAAAGCCAAAGCCAACAGUGCAUCGGAGCCAGAGGUAAGACCUGUGCCGGCUCAGUAGUGGCAUUCUAGAUCAGAAAACAGCCUACCAGAACUUUCCAUGCAAGCUGGGCACUGACCUCGUCUGCCAGUGCCUGAUCCUGGGCAGCAGUUGGGUUUACUGUCUGACAAUAAAAAGAGUAGAAGACAUUUUUAUUCAACACAAAAGCUUAGGCAGUGUUUCUUGUCCGUGUCUUGGACUCAGCCAAUUUGCAGCAUAAUUGUUUCCUACCCUAAUGUGUAUGCAGUAGAAUUAGUUCUAGAGGCUGCCAUGAGACUAGUCCACAGCAGAGUAAUAUCUCUGGGGCCCAGGUAGUGAGGAGAAUAGAAUGUGCCCGGGGUUGGGAGUUGGGGGUGGGGCAGAAGUCCAUGGCAGUCAUUCUGUGUGGUAGGAGCAGGGAAGACCAUGUGCAGGAGUCAGGCUUCGUAAGUUGGUGUGCUGACCUUCAGGUCAAGGACAAUUCAGCGGCCAUCUUGUCAACAAGCAAAUAGUUCUUGUCUCUUGGUGUCUCUGUUCUUUGAAGCCCCCACCACAUCCUCCUUCCUGCUUUGUCCUGGGUACCUUUUCCCUAGGUCCUCGAGACUCCUUUCCACAUCAGAUGCAUCUCUUAAAGAACCUUUGUCCCGACUCUGAAAGGCACACAGCGUCUAAGAUCCACAAGCCUCCACGGCCACCCUUCAUCUGUCCAUGGCUGGGGCAUAAAGAGUAAGGAGACAUCCCUUUGCCUUUUUGUGGAAAAUCCCACAACUCUACCCCCCUGUGUUCCAAGUUCCCAGCAAGCAGCCACCUUUAGUAAGUCAGGCCCUGACAGGAUCUUACACACAAGGUAGUAAUAACCUUUACCUCUUCCCUGCUUGGAAGGCUCCUUAAUUUCCUCAGGUGGACUAGAUUCACAAAGAACUGGGAAUCCCCUGCCUGGUGUCAGGGCACCCAGGUCUUGAAACACAAAGCCUUGGUUGCUUUUCCUGGAAAGAAAAGGAGGCAAUUAUCUCUCUGUCCUCCGUUCCUCAGAUUAGGAAAACAGAAACUAAAGCCGUUUCUCAACCACUUGGGUAACCUCCUUGUCUUUUGAGAGUCUUGCUUUCUGAUACCCACCGACAGAUCAGCUGGCACCCUAGUCUGGCACCUUGAAGUCUGUCAGAGCCACGGAUCCUAACCCCUUUAGUCUACUCAUAGAUCUUUCCUGAGCCCCGACUCUGUAACUCAUAGGCACCCCUGCCUGAGAAAAGAUGGCUGCCAUGGAAUGGCACCUCCCACUGUCUUCUCAUGAACUCCUGGUGUUCUCCUCACCACCCCAAGGCGCCUGAUCUGGUUGAAGGUGACAUGAAGGUGACAUGGUGACACAGAAUGUGAAUGGCUGAAGGCUAGAAAUCUGAGCUGUCUGGGAACCCCCUCACCUCUCGUGUUUCUAAAAUGACUUCGGAAUUAGGGUGCAGGCAUGCAAAGCCCAAGGGAACGCCAUCAUUUUCGAGGAGGCCAGCUGUCCCCAGAUCCAGGCCAAGAAAUCCUAGGAUCUGAUGGCCCACACUCAGCUAUGUGGCCAAACCGCUUCACGUCUGUGCUUCAGAAGUGACUGGGUAGUUCCAUUGCUGGUCUUAAAGGAAGGGCCUCUGACUUUUCCCAGAGAUGAUGGAGUUCUUGGUCCUACCUCCUUCUUGUCUGCUUAGGAAUCUUUCUCGGCUCCCUUAGGUGCCUAAACUCCAGUUCACACGAGUGGGACAUUUCUACAUAAUUUCCUUACAUACAGUUGUUUCAGGGGGUUCCCAACCCACAGAGUCUCUUUCUGUGUCUCUCUGUGUCUCUCUGUCUCUCUCUCUC